rnacentral:misc_RNA from 1 species
GAUGAAAGAACGCAGCGAAAUGCGAUAAGUAAUGUGAAUUGCAGAAUUCAGUGAAUCAUCGAAUCUUUGAACGCACAUUGCGCCCCCUGGUAUUCCGGGGGGCAUGCCUGUUCGAGCGUCAUUUCACCACUCAAGCCUCGCUUGGUAUUGGGCAACGCGGUCCGCCGCGUGCCUCAAAUCGACCGGCUGGGUCUUCUGUCCCCUAAGCGUUGUGGAAACUAUUCGCUAAAGGGUGUUCGGGAGGCUACGCCGUAAAACAACCCCAUUUCUAAGGUUGACCUCGGAUCAGGUAGGGAUACCCGCUGAACUUAAGCAUAUCAAUAAGCGGAGGA